CGGAGCACGCGGCGGACGGAAGUUUAUUUGUUACGCCGCCGCCUUUGCGCCGCGAUCCGUGCGGUAUGAAGCUGCGGGCUCUGACCGCGUGGGCUCCACAGCUGGCUCUGCUCGCCGUGGCUCCUAUCUGUGUGCGCGGGCAUGCGCGCGUGCGUGUUUGUGCCCGCCAAAAAGCGCACUGGAUGCCGGGACGGAAAUUCUCCCGGACCAAAAACAGCGCCAACACUUGGGAUGCGUAGAGAAACGACUGGGAGGAAAGAGAGAGUGAGAGACAGAAGAGAGAGAGAGAGAGAGAGAGAGAGAGAGAGAGAGAGAGAGAGAGAGAGAGAGAGAGAGAGAGAGAGAGAGAGAGAGAGAGGAAACCCCGACGCUUCAGCCUUAGCUGAGGGAUUUAACCUGCUCCAAAAAUAUAUAAUAAAUAAAUAAAAUCGUUUCCAACAAGUCCACGCCACAUUAGUCCGUCUUAUCACUCUUUUUUUUCCUUCUUCUUUUUCCUCCUCUUCUUCCGUGGCACAGUUUGGACAGAGGCGCGCGCAGAGAGGCGCGUCUUUAAUCAGGCUUUACGGGCUGGAAAGUGAGAGAAUCUAAACGUGACGUCAAUGCCUAGUAACUGACGCAGCCCUUCAACAUAAAAUGUCUUUUUAUUUAUUUAUUCCCCCCUCCCACCACCACCACCAACAACCCUCCUUCUCUCUCUUCUCGUCAGCAAAGCUUAAUUACUCAAAUUCACAGAGCUCCGUCAACUAACAGAAAAAAAAGAAAGAAAGAAAGAAAGAAAGAAAGAAAAGCCCUGCAGGCGGCGCCGGGCGCUCCGCGUCCAUCACUACUUGGGCAAAAAGCUCUUUUUGGCUUUCGGGGAGUUUCGGUGAAGCUGAAGUAACAACCGGAACCAGAAGCUUGUGAAGAGGGCGACGAGACAUCGGACGUAGUCGACGUGAUCACAGAGUGUUUGUGUGUCAGGAAGGAAAAGUGGCGGAGAAAGGAUCAGAGCGGACUUUAUUUCAUUUGCUUUUUCUUUUUUAUUUGUGUGUAACGGGCGGGGAGCGAUCCUGAGCAGAGCCGGAAGAACAGAGAGAAAGAAACAAACAAACUAAUGGUAAUAAUAAAAAAUAGACACGAUGCACUUCACGUAAAGAGCCCAAGCGAUGCUCGUGAGUGGACGCUUUUUUUUUUUUUUUUUGCGCUGCUAAAAAUAGCAUUAUAGUUUUGAUCGCGCGCCAGAAAUAGACAGACGGUUCUUACUUUUGUAAAGAAAAGAAAAAGAAGGAAAGAAAAGAGAAAGAAAGAAAGAUAGAAAGAAAUAAAUAAAGAAAGAAAGAAAGAAUAAAAGAAAAAAAGGAAGAAAGAGGGAGAUCCAACUUGGACGUGCCAUUCUUUGAGAGAGGACGGGCCACAUCACGAAGAAGAAGAGCGAGAGGUCGCGGCUCGUCGCGGAAGGCGAGGCGACCUGAGUGGACUUUUAUUUCCUGCCGAGCUGCGGACGGAGAGGAAAAAGGCGCGCCGGCGGGUUGGAGGUUUGCGCCUAGGACCGACUGAUGGAGAGAGACCCCGCGGCACUCCCAAUAAGGGAGGAAGUCAGAUGACGUCUAGCGGACAGAGACGAGACGCUUCGCCGCCGACGAAGUGGAUGGUGAACCGGAGGAGAAGGGUCAAAGGUCGUUUGGUGUGAGGACGUCUUGGUAUGGAGAGGAAGCGGAAGCUAAACGAGCCGGGGAAGCAAAAAGCAGGAGACGGCUGCUGGGUGAAGGUGGAAGAAGGAGCCAGGAAGUCAAGUCUGAGCGGCCUCCACCCACGUCUGGUCGCAGACAGCCAGGAUGAGCAACAUGGCCUCCGUCUUCCUCGUGCUGAGCAGCCACACACUCAGGCUGGACACGCACACACAGGACAGCUGUGUGGAUCAUGACAGUGAUCCAAAGGUGGACUCCCCUCAAGUCUAACUGUGUGUGUGUGUGUGUGUGUGUGUGUGUGUGUGUGUGUGUGUGUGUGUGUGUGUGUGAAUAUUAAAGUGUAAAAUGAAAGAUGAUGAUGGGAUGUAUUUAAAAACAGCUUGAUGCCCUUUUAUUUUUGCUGGUGCAACAAUAAUCACACUGUAUAUUAUUGCAUCGUGUUAAAUUGAUGAUAUAAUGUCAACAUUUUCACAUCUUUCUUUAAACUUGUAAGAUUUGUUUUCCUUUAAAAAACAAAAAAAAAUACUGUACAACUGUGUCCCAUGAUUUCUGCAUUUUUAAACAUGACAUUUGUGCGAAUAUGUAUUUUUAUGUUGUUGCUGCUGCUGCUGCUGUUGCAGUGACAGAGACAUUUUGUUCCCACUGCGUUUGACUGAACGUGUUAUAAAACUGUUACACAACUCGCGUCUCCUUCCUCUCGGAUCCCGGAGCUUUGUGUCCAAUUUUGCGAACAGCAGCGCGAUCCCUUUCCGGAUUCGGACCCAUUUUCAUACUCUCGCCCCUGUGCAGAGUACACGACAGGCUUCGCCUUCUGCCCCGGAGCCUCGGUCUGCCUGCAUUUCGUGUUCGGUUUGCCCCGCGUGGAUGGACGGAUGGAUGGAUGGGGGAGGAAGAGGGGAGAUGGUGAUGAGAGGGGGGGCAUGGCGGCUUGCAUGGAGAGAGAGAGAGAGAGAGAGAGAGAGAGAGAGAGAGAGAGAGAGAGAGAGAGAUUCGUCUCCUGAAAAAUAAAAAAAUAACAACAAAAUGGUGACAGCUGUUCGUGGAUCGUGCAUUCCCUGUAAACAAACGUGUGUGGAAAUUUUUAAAAGUACUGUGAAAUAAAAGCGAUGGAAAUUU